rnacentral:rRNA from 1 species
GCCUACGGGAGGCAGCAGUGGGGGAUAUUGCACAAUGGGGGAAACCCUGAUGCAGCGACGCCGCGUGGGUGAAGAAGCGCCUCGGCGCGUAGAGCCCUGUCAGCAGGGAAGAAAAUGACGGUACCUGAAGAAGAAGCCCCGGCUAACUACGUGCCAGCAGCCGCGGUAAUACGUAGGGGGCAAGCGUUAUCCGGAUUUACUGGGUGUAAAGGGGGCGCAGACGGCGAUGCAAGCCAGGAGUGAAAGCCCGGGGCCCAACCCCGGGACUGCUCUUGGAACUGCGUGGCUAGAGUGCAGGAGGGGCA